rnacentral:rRNA from 1 species
UACGGAGGGUGCAAGCGUUAUCCGGAUUCCCUGGGUUUAAAGGGUGCGUAGGUGUGUUGGUAAGUCAGUGGUGAAAUCUCCGGGCUUAACUCGGAAACUGCCGUUGAUACUAUCAAUCUUGAAUAUCGCGUAGGUAAGCGGAAUAUGUCAUGUAGCGGUGAAGUGCUUAGAUAUGACAUAGAACACCAAUUGCGAAGGCAGCUUACUUCACGAUCAUUGACACUGAGGCACGAAAGCGUGGGGAGCAAACAGG